rnacentral:rRNA from 1 species
UACGUAGGGUGCAAGCGUUAAUCGGAAUUACUGGGCGUAAAGCGUGCGCAGGCGGUUUUGUAAGUCUGACGUGAAAUCCCCGGGCUCAACCUGGGAAUUGCGUUGGAGACUGCAAGGCUAGAGUCUGGCAGAGGGGGGUAGAAUUCCACGUGUAGCAGUGAAAUGCGUAGAGAUGUGGAGGAACACCGAUGGCGAAGGCAGCCCCCUGGGUCAAGAUUGACGCUCAUGCACGAAAGCGUGGGGAGCAAACAGG